AGUAUGUUGAUCUGAGAUAAGUUAUCAUACAUCAAGAAUGGGUUCAGGCGAUUGGUUUAAGACAUUAAUUUCAAGAAAAUCGAAAGAAAGAAAACCCAAGAAAGGAAAGGGUACUUUAGCUUCAACGAAAUUAAGUGCACUGAACUCAAAUGAUUGUACAAGAAGAGACUCUAGUGACUUAGCAAAUGGUGCUAAAGCUGAAAAUAUUGGGUCAGUUGAAACUUUGCUGCAACAAGAAUCCAGACUGCAUUCCGGGCUUAUAAGGUAAAGCUUUGAGAAUAUCAUCUGCUGGUUUUUUCUUUAUUUAUUGUGGAUGCUGACUUUUAAACUUUUCAAGCUAGAAAGGCUCUACGCCGCUUGAAAGGGAUCAUAAAACUGCAGAUUGUAACACAGAGUUACUCGGUUAAAAAGCAAGCCAAUACUGCUAUAACUUACCUUCAUUCAUGGAGCAAGAUACAGACUGAGAUUAGAGCUCGAAGAAUCUAUAUAGUGACUGAAGACAGGAUCAGGCAGAAAAAACUAGAAAAUUAGCUUAAACUUGAGGCAAAGCUGCAUGAUCUGGAGGUUGAAUGGUGUAGUGGUUCUGAAACCAUGGAGGAGAUUGUUGGAAGGAUACAUCAGAGAGAAGAAGCAGCUGUUAAGCGUGAAAGAG